rnacentral:rRNA from 1 species
AGCAGCCGCGGUAAUUCCAGCUCCAAUAGCGUAUAUUAAAGUUGUUGCAGUUAAAAAGCUCGUAGUUGAAUUUCGGGGUUAGUAGGUUGGUCAUGCCACUGGUAUGUACUGGUCUCACUGAUUCCUCCUUCCUGAUGAACCGUAAUGCCAUUAAUUUGGUGUUGCGGGGAAACUGGACUGUUACUUUGAAAAAAAUUGAGUGUUUAAAGCAGGCUAACGCUUGAAUACAUUAGCAUGGAAUAAUGAAAUGGACGUUCGAUCCUAUUUUGUGGUUUCUAGGAUUUGACGUAAUGAUUAAUAGGGAUAGUUGGGGGCAUUAGUAUUCAAUUGUCAGAGGUGAAAUUCUUGGAUUUAUUGGAAGACUAACUACUGCGAAAGCAUUUGCCAAGGAUGUUUCAUUAAUCAAGAACGAAGUAGGGAUCGAAGCGAUCAGAUACCGUCGUAGUCUUAACCAUUAAACCUAUACGCCGACUAGGGGAAUCGGGAUGGAUUGUUAAUUUUUUAANGUACUCAUUCGGCG